UCAAAAAAAUCAAAACUUUUUUAAAAAUUUGAAAAAGUAACAAAGAAAAUGAAAUACUUAAAAAAAAUCAAUUAUGCAAUUUCUUUAAAAAUUUGCGAAUCAAUUUUUUUCCAUAAUUUGAACAAAAUGAAAAAAUUUUUAAAGAAAAAUUAUAAAAAUGAUAUUUUUAAACAUUUUUAAAUGGUAAAAAUAAACUGUAGGUAGGUAUAAUUAUAGUGAGCCGUCGCAGCAAUGCCCAGGAGAACCAUGUAGGGGAUCUCCGUCUAUUCCGAUUAGAAUUUCGGACAGUACUCCCAAUUCGGCCGAUCUUCUGCUGUAACUGUUUUAAGAUAGCAAAAGAUAACACGUUGUGAAAGGGGGUAGAGUACUUACUACGAAGUGUGGUAACUUAUUAUUUUAUGCCGAAACACAAAAUACUAUCUUACGAUUGGUAUUUACCUUUUACUCGAAUGUGAUAAGGCCGAAUAUCUUCAUCUUCCAGCCACUUUUGAAGAACUGGAUUAUGUCUCCCUCAUUCUGUGCCUCGAAAUGACAAGCUCUGCCGACGUAACAUGCAAUAAGCUAUACAUCAAGUAAAAUUUUGACUAGGCACCUCAGUAUUGUACUGAAGAAUUCUCUCUUGUUCCUGGCAAAUUUUAAAGGAUUCUUUGUUGAAAAUAACAUCAAUUAGGCUUUUCUUUGUCAUGAAGGAAACAUAAUCACAGACCAUAUUACACAAAAUAAAAAUAAAUAUCAUAGGUACCUAAAUAUAUUUCAUUUAAAACGGAUAGAAAAGAAAAGAAAAAAAAUUUACUUAGACUGAUCGAUCAGCUCGAUGGCUUCCGGUCACGUGUAGUUUAACUUCAACUCGUGUGUUCGUGAUUACGGGCAUCAUUUUGUACAAAUAGUAAUCUGAAAUAAAUAAAUAAAUAAAUAAAUCAAUUAAUUUUCAGUACGAUUUUUUUAAAUUUUCAGUUCACUGAAUACAAAGAUAUUUUUUUCAAUGUUUUUCAAUUUAUUUUUCUGACAAAAAUUUUUAUGAAAAAUUGCAGUUUUUACACUAAAAAUUAAUGAGGUAAUUAGUUCAUCGUACUUGAUAAAUAUUAAAUCAUCGACUCAUCAAAUAAAAAAGUGAGAACCGCGUGGCUCAAAAUUUUUCUGAAAUGCUCGAAAAAAGUUUUUAUAUCAAUUUUUUUCAACACUUGAACCCAUUUCUACCGAUUGCAUGACAUCAUUCUCAGAGAAUUUCCGAAAUCAUGACAUAAUUUUGGGCUCAGAGUCCUUCAAACAUGCUCAAACAAAUGUCUCGUCAAAAUAUUUCAAUUCCUCGCAAAUUUUUUCAAAAAUCCCCAAAAAAUCAAAACCCAAUUUCGGACUUGAAACACUUCAAAAAAGCUCUAAAAACAGUUUUGUCAUUUCCAAAAUCAGCUGGAAUGGCAAAAAACAUCGUGUAAAAGCUCUAAAAACACCACAUACCACAAAAAAAUGAAGUCAAUUCUGUCACAGUUCCUAUAAAUAAAUACAUGAAAAGUGUAAAAACGUGUCAAAAAUGACAUAAAAAGACUCAAAAAUGCGAUCAAAUUGCUGAAGAAAGGAUAACAUUUUGUCAAAAAUAAGUACAAAGAUAGAAUUUGGAAAAAUUCUUUAAUACAUCGUUAAAAUUAUACCCAAAAACACGAAAAUCACAAAAAAAAGAAGAAAAUUCUAUAAAAUUUGCCUAAAAUCACGAAGAAGUGUUGAAGAUGUGUGUAAAAACACUCAAAAACGUAUUAAAAUUACUAAAAAAAAAAUAAUCAAGUAAUACUUACGCAACUGGACGUGUGUUUUUAUUUGUCUUAUUAUUCUUCAUCCUGUAAAAGGGCUUAAAAACUGUUAUAAGUAUCUGUUCUUUCAACACUGUGUAUAACACAUAUGUAGGCGAAGUUUCGUUUUGAUUGGAGAUGUACAGUUGGUAGGUACUUGGUAUUGGUCCCUUGAGCUCUAUUAUAUUCAAGUUGUUUAUCAUUUGACAUAUUGUAAUGAGGGGGCUGGGAAAGAUUGGUUAUAGGGGGAAAUAUGAUAAUAACUUAAUGCCUGGGGGAUUCCAAUAAAUAUUCCUUAGGGAAGUAAUAUUUAUUCGGACUUGUCUAGCUCAGAGAAGAGGCUGUUAAUCUUUCUUAGCUCCAAUUUAACACUAAUUCUGAAUCUACCUAUGAAAUGAAACACAGUAGACAAAUCAUUUUACUCCUAUAUUCGAUGUAAUUGAAUGAAAUGGUUUAGCAUAAUUAUACCAAAUAAUCUUAACUAGGUUAAUAUUAUUCUGUGUUGACAUGGAAAACUGUCAGCAGCAUAAUCAGCCACGAUUAUGCGGAUUGUGCAGAACUAUCUCAGGAACAUGCCUAGCUUGUAAUCAAUAAGCGAGUGAGAUUAAUUACAAAAGUGCGGUGAAGUUACACUACUUAUAAUUAAUAUAGAGUUCAACGGGUACCUGGAUAACCGGGUUUCCGGGUUCAACCCGGAAAGCAACCCGGUUACCCGGAUACGGAACCGGGUAGUGAAAAACAAUGAAAAAUGCGACGUUGCCAAAUCAAAGUGACGAAAAAAGUUCAUCUUUAUAUAGCAAUCCUAGCGAUAUAAAGAUGAACUGCUCAAAAUGACGUCAUUUUCUAGAAUUUUUCUACCCGGAUAAUGAACCGGGUAGACCCGGAUAAUUUUCGGAUCCGAGUAAUACCCGCGGAUCCGGGUACCCGUUGAACUCUGUAUUAAUAGGAUGGUGAAGGAAACUGGGUAAGAUUUAGGAUACAUCUCUUACUUCAACACUGUACUUGUUCCCUGCUUGUCGGGGUGCUACUCAUACUAAGUAUGUCGCAGGGUAUUGGUUGGUAGGUACACAUUGCCAGGGGUAGAACCACUAAGAUCCGGAACGAAUAGCGGUUCAUCCAAAAAAGCACUAAUUAAUCGACAUACCAUAAUUAGCGCGAUAUAACACAAAUUCACCACGCGAUGGGUAACAUUAUAAAAUAGGGAGAGUGGACUUGAGAUACCCGGACCAAGUGUUUGUUAGAGGUUCACGAUCAGAGCUUGGAACCUCGGAUAGAGAAUAUACUAGUACACGUAACCUUCAGUCCCCACUAUGGAAUAAGUUCAAUAAUCUUUACUGCGAGAACUUUACAAUAUAAACCACCUAUAGCGGUUGGGCCAUAUCUCACCCUUACAAUAUCCUGGACCAAAAAUGCCUAAGAAAGGAUCAAAAGACUGACAUGUGUAAAUCCUGAUAAGUGGUUAAAUCCCUUAUUUCAGAGAAGGGGGGUUAGGGGAUUGUGAGUGGCAGCACAAACCAUCAUAACAAACGAAGCACAAGCGAUUAAAUCAAUUUUCAUCGUCUCGGCGACCUUUCUUCUAACCCCUUUUUAAAAUUUUAGAAGUCUUUCAAUAUUUCUGAUCAAAAUUUUUCAAUUGAGGCCACUUUAAUUUCUCAUUACCUACCUAUUUUUUUCAAGUUGGUAAAUUUAAAAUCUUUUAAAAUCUUUAAAUUUUAAUUUCCUGCAAUUACAUAAUUAUAUCAAAUGUUUAAAAACUGGCGAAAAAAAUCAUCAAUAACGAAUAUUUUUACAAUUUUACAAUAUUUUGUCUGACUUUUCAAGAACAUUGGAAACAAUGUUUCAGAAUCCCAAUCAAUGAGAUUUCAUUAUUAGAUUUGAAGCAAAAAACAUACCUAUUUACCACAUCAACCACAUGAAAGUUUGAAACUUUCCUCCCACAGAAGAUUUUACCUUCAUUUUUUCAACUCGACAGGUCUCUCUCUUCAUGUACGUGGCCAACAUAACAUUUUUUCGGGGGGAGGGACUAAGGAAAGGUUUAUAUUGAAAAAAGACUUAGAUACCUAAUAAAAUUACUAAAAAAAAAAAAAUUAAUACUUACUUACGUGACUGGACGCGUGUUCCUAUUUGUCUUAAGUGAUUAUCAUGGAUAAAAUCUAGAUUAGCAUUAUGCAUUAUUAUGAACAACACCAUGAAGGGUUCCAUUAUUAAAAAAUAUUUGUAAUUGGGGUUUAACCACUCUUUGAACAAACUCGAAUCAAGUUAAGUGACGUAUCAAUAAAAAUUUUGGUAUGCUAAAAAAAUAGCCAACAAAAUGACAAAUUUCUAAUAAAUUAUCAAAUCAAAAAUUAUGAAUCAACUUAUUAUUUGAAAUGAAACGAAGAUGAAGGCUAGAUGAAAUUUCUGAAGCACCAAAACUAAAGACCGAAAUGAAGAAAUACAUGAAUAGAUAUACUUAGUUACUUACACGAAAAAAAAUUAAUGUAUAAAAAAAAAUUCUAAUAAAUUGAAUUAAUACUUUCGUUGUAGGUGAAUCUAUGUUUGUGGUCCUUCCUACAUUUGAACACAAAAUAAAAAUUAAAAAAUGAUUUUAUAUUUUUCACUUAAAUUCUCCAUUUGUACAUACACAUGAGUAGUAUAGGGGUCACUUUGGUUGUUUUCUUGACUACUUCUCAUGCGGUUGAAUCUCCCCAAAAUGAGGGUUUCACUAAUAUCUCAUCAGCUAGGGGUUGAUUUUACGUUGAAAAUAGCUCAGUAUACUUUUACUAUCCACGCCAAAUUUCCUACAACUUUUGUCUAAAAUUUAAAAAAAAAAACAUCGUUUUUAUGAUUUUAUGCCUCUCGAAAUACAAAUUUUCAAAAGCUUUCACUUUCGUUUGGGCCUGUUCUGUUUUCUUUUUCAAAAUCAACUUCCUUCAAGAAAACGUCAUUCAGAUUCUAAAAUUUUAAAACGCCAAAAGUAAACUACUCGUCCUCACAUAAAAAAUAUCGUUUUUUUUGCCUGUCAAAAAUAUAAUUAAAAUUAAAAAUCAAAAAUGGCGGUUACGAGUACCUACCGUGAUUCAUCAGUAGAAGCGCUACUUGACAUACAGAUCUCCACAAAGAAUCCUGAUUAAUCGUCCAAGAAGAAAGAUACUCACAACGACAGUAGAAAAAUGCGAGAAAAAGAGGAAAAGCACAAAAAAAGAAAGCAACUUUUGAUGUCUAAGAAAGAUCAGUUCAAAAUGCCACCGACGAUUUUCAAUUUUGAAAACAGUCAACAGAAUAAAAAGCUUACUUACUUUUGUUGCAAAUGAAUUGGUAUACCUACAAAGAAAUAGCCGAGCUUGAUGAGCCUUCCGCUAUUGCUAGUGUCGAAUGUUUCUCAAAAGAAAUCACUCUGAUGCAAUUGCAAAUUUCCUCCAUUUUACAAAAAGCAGUAGGUAUUCUUUUCACCUAAAUUAUGGAUUACUGAAAUAAUUGUUACUGAGGCUCGAUGUUUAUGAAAAUUUGCUGACCACAAUUCCAACUCCAGAUAAUUUAGACAGUAUGAUGUCACUAUGGAAAUGGAAGACGACAUUGAUCCUAGCUCCAAAAUGCAGACGAUUGUAUUAUUGAAUGCUUAAGUACAUAUAAGUACAGUUGUUUUAACAUUAUUAGUUGAUAGGUAAAAAGCUAUUAUUAGCUUCUUGUUGUCUGCGUAGAUGCUUUUGCUUGUAGUGUGAUGUAAUGAUUCGAAUUUAUUUUUGGUCCUUGUAUUGCUUGGAAUUCUCACUACAAAAGAGAAAAGUGGAGGUAAAAAUAAGAUAGGUACCAUUCUUGAGAGAUGAAAUGGUUUAGCUAGAUCUCGAUAAUGUUAUAGUUUGAUUUUAUAAGUAGGUAUAUGAAUCAUAUUCAUGUUAUUCUACUGAAUUACCUACCUAAUGAUUUAAUUUUUGAAUUACGAUUUAAUAAUUGUGAUAUUAUGAGAAGAAUUAUAUGAACUAUGAUUUGAA